GACGAACGCUGGCGGCGUGCUUAACACAUGCAAGUCGAACGGACAGGCCCUGCUUUUGUGGGGCGCUCGUGUGGCGAACGGGUGAGUAACACGUGAGUAACCUGCCCUUGACUUUGGGAUAACUUCAGGAAACUGGGGCUCAUACCGGAUAGGAGCUCCUGCUGCAUGGGGGGGGUUGGAAAGUUUCGGCGGUUGGGGAUGGACUAGCGGCUUAUCCGCUUGUUGGUGGGGUAGUGGCUUACCAAGGCUUUGAAGGGUAGCCGGCCUGGGAGGGUGACCGGCCACAUUGGGACUGAGAUACGGCCCAGAAUCCUACGGGAGGCAGCAGUGGGGAAUAUUGCACAAUGGGCGGAAGCCUGAUGCAGCAACGCCGCGUGCGGGAUGACGGCCUUCGGGUUGUAAACCGCUUUCGCCUGUGACGAAGCGUGAGUGACGGUAAUGGGUAAAGAAGCACCGGCUAACUACGUG
rnacentral:rRNA from 1 species